UUGGAGGGCAAGUCUGGUGCCAGCAGCCGCGGUAAUUCCAGCUCCAAUAGCGUAUAUUAAAGUUGUUGCAGUUAAAAAGCUCGUGGUUGAAUUUCGGGGUUAGUAGGUUGGUCAUGCCUCUGGUAUGUACUGGUCUCACUGAUUCCUCCUUCCUGAUGAGCCGUAAUGCCAUUAAUUUGGUGUUGCGGGGAAUUUGGACUGUUACUUUGAAAAAAUUAGAGUGUUUAAAGCAAGCUAACGCUUGAAUACAUUAGCAUGGAAUAAUGAAAUAGGACGUUCGAUCCUAUUUUGUUGGUUUCUAGGAUUGACGUAAUGAUUAAUAGGGAUAGUUGGGGGCAUUAGUAUCCAAUUGUCAGAGGUGAAAUUCUUGGAUUUAUUGAAGACUAACUACUGCGAAAGCAUUUGCCAAGGAUGUUUUCAUUAAUCAAGAACGAAAGUUAGGGGAUCGAAGACGAUCAGAUACCGUCGUAGUCUUAACCAUAAACUAUGCCGACUAGGGAUCGGAUGAUGUUAAUUUUUUAAUGACUCAUUCGGCGCCUUACGGGAAAC
rnacentral:rRNA from 1 species